AUUGAACGCUGGCGGCAUGCCUUACACAUGCAAGUCGAACGGCAGCACGGGAGCAAUCCUGGUGGCGAGUGGCGAACGGGUGAGUAAUAUAUCGGAACGUGCCCAGUCGUGGGGGAUAACGCAGCGAAAGCUGUGCUAAUACCGCAUACGAUCUAAGGAUGAAAGCGGGGGAUCGCAAGACCUCGCGCGAUUGGAGCGGCCGAUAUCAGAUUAGCUAGUUGGUGGGGUAAAGGCCCACCAAGGCGACGAUCCGUAGCUGGUCUGAGAGGACGAACAGCCACACUGGAACUGAGACACGGUCCAGACUCCUACGGGAGGCAGCAGUGGGGAAUUUUGGACAAUGGGCGCAAGCCUGAUCCAGCAAUGCCGCGUGCAGGAUGAAGGCCUUCGGGUUGUAAACUGCUUUUGUACGGAACGAAACGGCCCUUUCUAAUACAGGGGGCUAAUGACGGUACCGUAAGUAUAAGCACCGGCUAACUACGUGCCAGCCGCCGCCGUAAUAC
rnacentral:rRNA from 1 species